rnacentral:rRNA from 1 species
UACGUAGGGUGCAAGCGUUGUCCGGAAUUAUUGGGCGUAAAGAGCUCGUAGGCGGUCUGUCGCGUCUGCUGUGAAAACUCGGGGCUUAACCCCGGGCCUGCAGUGGGUACGGGCAGACUAGAGUGCGGUAGGGGAGACUGGAAUUCCUGGUGUAGCGGUGGAAUGCGCAGAUAUCAGGAGGAACACCGAUGGCGAAGGCAGGUCACUGGGCCGCAACUGACGCUGAGGAGCGAAAGCGUGGGGAGCGAACAGG